rnacentral:rRNA from 1 species
GCUCAUAAAUCAGUUAUAGUUUAUUUGAUAGUACCUUCUACCUGGAUAACCGUGGUAAUUCUAGAGCUAAUACAUGCUAAAAACCUCGACUCACGAAGAGGUGUAUUUAUUAGAUAAAAAACCAAUGCCCUCCGGGGCUCAGUGGUGAUUCAUGAUAACUCAACGAAUCGCAUGGCCUUGCGCCGGCGAUGGUUCAUUCAAAUUUCUGCCCUAUCAACUUUCGAUGGUAGGAUAGUGGCCUACCAUGGUUUCAACGGGUAACGGGGAAUUAGGGUUCGAUUCCGGAGAGGGAGCCUGAGAAACGGCUACCACAUCCAAGGAAGGCAGCAGGCGCGCAAAUUACCCAAUUCUGAUACAGAGAGGUAGUGACGAUAAAUACCGAUACAGGGCUCUUUCGGGUCUUGUAAUUGGAAUGAGUACAAUCUAAACCCCUUAACGAGGAACAAUUGGAGGGCAAGUCUGGUGCCAGCAGCCGCGGUAAUUCCAGCUCCAAUAGCGUAUAUUAAAGUUGUUGCAGUUAAAAAGCUCGUAGUUGAACCUUGGGCCUGGCCGAUCUGUCUUCCUAAUCGUUGUACGGAUUCGGUCGGGCCUUUCCUUCUGGGGAGCCCCAUGUCCUUCACUGGGCGUGGUGGGGAACCAGGACUUUUACCUUGAAAAAAUUAGAGUGUUCAAAGCAGGCCUUUGCUCGAAUACAUUAGCAUGGAAUAAUGGAAUAGGACAGCAGUUCUAUUUUGUUGGUUUCUAGGACCGCUGUAAUGAUUAAUAGGGAUAGUCGGGGGCGUCAGUAUUCAAUUGUCAGAGGUGAAAUUCUUGGAUUUAUUGAAGACUAACUAUUGCGAAAGCAUUCGCCAAGGAUGUUUUCAUUAAUCAGUGAACGAAAGUUAGGGGAUCGAAGACGAUCAGAUACCGUCGUAGUCUUAACCAUAAACUAUGCCGACUAGGGAUUGGACGGUGUUUCUUUUAUGACCCGUUCAGCACCUUACGAGAAAUCAAAGUUUUGGGCUCU